rnacentral:tRNA from 1 species
UCCCUGGUGGCUCAGACGAUAAAGCGUCUAUCUGUAAUACAGGAGACCCAGGUUCAAACCCUGGCUGGAGGA